UUGGGUGGGGGUGUUCCUGGGGCCUCUUUGUUACCAGGUUUGGGCUGAAACAGGAAUUCCUCAGGCAGAUACUUUAAAGGGGGUUGGGGUCAUCCUAAGCACGCAGCUUCCAGCAAUUAGAAACUAUGUGUAUAUUCAAGUCUGUUGGCAGGGGCUUCUGGGGGGCUGGGAAAUGGAUGGAAUCAUUUGUGCUGGGAGCCUGCAGGUUCUAGAGGUCAAAGUGCAGGCCUGGUCAAAAAGAGGGCUCAGAGGAGCCUGUCUAAAGCAUGGUCAAGGAGAGGAUCUUUAUCACUCUUUAGUUAUGUUCAAAUUGCACCACUUAGCCCACCUAAAAAAACUGCCGUCACUAAGGUUGGUAUUUGGGUUCCUUCUAUCUAUAUUACACAACCUUAGUUCUUUUUCUCAGCGUGACCACAGGGGAGGAGGAAGAGGGUUUUGCGUAAGUAAUCCCAGCUCUUCGCAUAGCUUUUUAGUUAUCUUUCAAGACACCUGCAGCAGGAAGAAGCCUUUAGAAAUUGGAAUGACCUUGAACGGUGUCCUCUCCCCCUCGCUUGGGCCUGAGCAGAUUUACACCAGCUCCUACUAUCAUUAAUGGCCCUGCUGCAAAAAGACUCAUCUUUGCCAAGAUGUUGGGCUGGAGGAACAUGUGUUCCUGCAGGAGAAGCUGAAAGUCCUUGAGAGAAGCACGAAGGACACAAGCCCACAUCCACACACAGGAAAGGUAAGGACGGAAGCAGAAGGAGAAGAGCGAGCUGGGCAGUGGCAGCCUCUGUUCUUGCGUUAGUGAGGGCAGGGCAUGCUUUGUUAUCUCUUCCUGCAGAAUGAGCAGGUUCUAGCAGAUGCUGCCAAAACUUCUUUCUUUCGGCAGAGAGCCUUUCCCAUUAUUUAUUCCAAUGCAUAACUGGGAUAUUUCUGAUUUAUAAUGGCUGGUGGUUUCAUUCCAGUGGCUGGUUGGAUUCCUAUGUCAGAUACAAGCCACUAAGCAGGCUAAGACUGAAGAAUCCCGUUCCAGAUUUCUGCUCCUCCCUUGUGAACUUCAGUGAUCUCUGGGGAAAGAGAAGGUAGAAUCCCACCUUGAAACAGGUACCCUGGCUGGUCUCUGCUAGAAUUGCAGGGCAAUUGUCCCAUAGGUACGAUGGUUUCAUUCCGUAACUCUGGGAACACUUGUCACAUCUACACUGUGAAUUAAGAAGCUUCCAAGUGUUAUUCGGGUGUUUCAUGAAGACCGCUCAGUUUGGUGUUGCUUAUAAACCAACGUAAGUUGGUAGUUUUCAUGUAUAUGAUUGUUGGGGACAUGGUGGAGGUGUCUAAAUACAAAGCUCUGCUCGCUAUUUAGGCAGUACCACCAAGUUAGCAAUUUAGUAGACCCAGAAAUGAACCACUGGGCUUGCUAUUUAAGGGGUGGGCAUUGUUUCCUUCAUAAUGGAGGACUCGAGAUGGGGCAAACGGUAAGGUAAGAUCACAGGUGAACACAGAAAAAGAGAUGGGCCAGUCGUUUGUGCGUUUGCUCUUAAAACCAUUCCCUGCUUCUUCUUUCUCUGAAUUUCAGGGCCCAGAGUCUGGAUACUUCCUUUUCCCGGGCUCUCUUGCCCACUGGCCCUCAGUUAGGUUAAGCCUGUGGGGACCAUAGGGAAAGAAAAAGUUUUCCUCGACCCUCCUAGGGUUCCUGGCUGGGGCUGAAAAUUAAACCAACAGGGACAGAUGAACAGGAGAAAAGCACACGCAUUUAUUUAAUAUAGGUUUUAUGUGAUGCCCAAAGAAACAGUUAAACCUAUUUUUAUGCUAGGUUUAACAAAGAGUAGGCAGUUUUGUAGAAAUACGGCAGGUAAAAGAGUAUGGGGUAAGUACAGCAGGGGAAACUUAGUAAGGCCUAUUUGUUCAGAUGCUUCUUCAUGUCCCUCUGUCUUUGGUGAUAAGGAUGUCUUCUCCUGGGGUACAGGGAGGGCAACUCUCACAUGGGGAUUUUAUUACCUGUUUUGGGAGAAGGGAAGAAGGAAAUUCACAGUGACCUUACUGCUUCUGUUUUCUCAAACCCUUCCAGCUUAAAAUAUUCAAUAUGCUACGGUGUCAUAUUUGGCAGGAGCAUGUCCUGCACCCCCUCAGGACCUGCUUGGAACCCCAGAGUUGGUGUAAACUCCAGAGUUAACUUAACUUGAAGAUAUUUGAUUCAACAGAUACAGCAAGAAGCUCCCUCAGAACUUCCCUUACCUGACUAAAAGGAGAAAUUUCUGAGAAAUUUAACUUCCAUGAAUUCCUGCUAGGGGCAGGUCUGCUCCCAGGAGAGAGACCAAGAGUAAACCUACCAUAUUUCCCCUCUCUGGGGGAAUUCCAUGGCGGAAAGACCACC